rnacentral:rRNA from 1 species
AAGUCGUAACAAGGUUUCCGUAGGUGAACCUGCGGAAGGAUCAUUAUCAUGUAAUUCAGUCAUGCAUGCUGCGUGAGCUGUAGCUAUACACCCACCCUGCGUACGUCCUCCCGUUGCUUCCCGUCCGGUGCCUGCGCCCGGGCGGGAGGGGCCAAACAACCUCCAAAUUUCUUUAGCGUCGAAUCUGUCUGAACGAAUAGAACAAAUGAAAAAGUUAAAACUUUCAGCAACGGAUCUCUUGGUUCUCGCAUCGAUGAAGAACGCAGCGAAAUGCGAUAAGUAGUGUGAAUUGCAGAAUUCAGUGAAUCAUCGAAUCUUUGAACGCACAUUGCGCCUUCUGGUAUUCCGGGAGGCAUGCCUGUUCGAGAGUCAUUGACAACCAUCCCAAAUCCCCCCCUUUCCCUCCUUGAGGGUUUCGGGUGCGAUCUCGGGUUCUGGUGGAUGAGGAAUGAGCUGCCAGGCAGAUCUCCUCCCCUCCGAAAUUCAUGGGCGGUCGCUGGCUUUUAUAGAGAAGAAAACCCCCGCAACGCCUGCGGCGUUUUAAUGUAUGUCGCCCUUGUAACGUUGCGGGACCUUCGGGGCCACGGACGACCAGCCUACCCAACGAAAUAAGAAUAAUCCCCAGUUGUUUUUAUGUAACCUGAAUCAAUGGUUGACCUCGGAUCAGGUAGGGAUACCCGCUGAACUUAA